rnacentral:rRNA from 1 species
UACGUAGGUGGCGAGCGUUAUCCGGAUUUAUUGGGUUUAAAGGGUGCGUAGGCGGCCUAAUAAGUCGGUGGUUAAAAGUAGCAGCUUAACUGUUUUACCUGCCAUCGAUACUGUUAGGCUUGAGUUAUCAGGAGGUAGCUGGAAUUUCCGGUGUAGCGGUGAAAUGCUUAGAUACCGGAAGGAACACCAAUUGCGAAGGCAGGUUACUGUAGAUAUACUGACGCUGAGGCACGAAAGUGCGGGGAUCAAACAGG